rnacentral:rRNA from 1 species
UAAUGUAUGGGGAUCUGCCCGAUAGAGGGGAAUAACUACUGGAAACGGUGGCUAAUACCGCAUAAUAUCUACGGACCAAAGCAGGGGCUCUUCGGACCUUGCACUAUCGGAUGAACCCAUAUGGGAUUAGCUAGUAGGUGGGGUAAAGGCUCACCUAGGCGACGAUCUCUAGCUGGUCUGAGAGGAUGAUCAGCCACACUGGGACUGAGACACGGCCCAG